AUUUACUUUGAGAAAAUUAGAGUGUUCUAAGCAGUCAAAUGGCUUUAUCCUGAAGCAUGGAAUGAUAAGGUAUGACAUCACUUAAAUUCAAAAAGGUUUGAGAAGCUGAUGUAAUGAUUUAUAGAGUCUGUCGGUGGUAUUUCGUAUUUUGUCGUUAGAAGUGAAAUUCUGGGAUCGACCAAAGACUACCAAAUGCGUACGCAUUUGCCUAGAAUUUUCUCCUUGAUCAAGAACGUAAGUUGAGGGAUCGAAGACGAUCAGAUACCGUCGUAGUCUCAACUGUAAACUAUAUCAUCUAGGGGUUGACAAUUGCUUAAUUGGCUUUGUCAGAACCUUAAGAGAAAUCAAAGGAUUUGGGUUCCGGGGGUAGUAUGGUCGCAAGACUGAAACUUAAAGGAAUUGACGGAAGGGCACCACAAGAUGUGGAUCCUGUGGCUUAAUUUGACUCAACACUGAAAAAUUUACCAGGUCCAGACAUAGUUAAGAUUGACAGAUUGAUAGUUCUUUCUUGAUUGUAUGGGUGGUGGUGCAUGGCCGUUCUUAGUUGGUGGAGUGAUUUGUCUGGUUAAUUCCGUUAACGAACGAGACUACUCUCUGCUAAAUAAUAUAAUCAUUUAGAUAUGAUUUUAGCUUCUUAGAGGGAUUUGCUUUCCAUAAAUUGCUGGAAGACGGUAGCAAUAACAGGUCUGUGAUGCCCUUAGAUGUUCUGGGCAGCGCACGGGCUACAAUAGGACAGUAAUUGAGCUUGUUCAACUUAACUCGAAAAGGGCAGUGAAAUCUUGAAAUUCUUCUUUAUUUGGGAUCGCGAUUUGAAAUUUUUACGUGUAAACCAGGAAUACCUAGUAAGUUCAUGUCAUCAACGUGAUCUGAAUACGUCCCUGCCCUUU
rnacentral:rRNA from 1 species